AUACUAUGGUUUCUCUUCAAAACAAAUAAAUCUUUCGCCUUUUACUAAAGAUUUCCGUGGAGAGAGACAGUUAUGAGUUGGUAACCAAAUUUUUUGAAGUCUUGCUUAGGCAAAGCU
rnacentral:snRNA from 1 species